rnacentral:misc_RNA from 1 species
CGCGAACGACGACCGCUGGCUCUGGCGCUGGUUGUGGCGCACACACGCACACGCGCCAACGCAACGUGUUUCUCCCUAUCGAGCCCCUCUCCUUUCCGCGCCAUCCGUACGCUCGAAUCCGCGCCCAGCAGGACAGCGACGGUGGAAGCGCACUGGCUCGGCACGGACGCGACAGAGAAGCGGGACAAAUCUUCUUCUGCUGCCUUCUCAAAGCCGUAGGCUGACAAGGGCCAGUCGUGGGACUUUAAGGCUGUAAAGCGCAACCUGCGCGUGGGCCAUACGGGGACGAUAGCGUGGCUCGACGACGUGCUCGGCAUGCCCAUGAAGGGAUGCCGCGACAGCAGUGUGCUGCAGCUGAUGGAAAGUGGGCAGUGGAGGGUGCACCACCACGUGCUGUCAAGGACAAUUCCGAACGGUGAGGGCUGGGGGGGGGGAGGAGCUGAACGAGGGGGACACACCCUUGAAUGGAAAGUAAGGCGACUCGCUUCUGGCGGAGGGAGCUGGGCGACGCUGUUUGUCACGAUGGCGGCACACCGCUGGGCUCUUCCCCAUUUUCCUCUCCUCCUACACGAGCGUGGCCGAGGAGUAUGCUAGCUAUAUAUAUAUAUAUAUAUAUAUGCGUGUAUGUCGCCGAUGCGCAUUAGCGGCCCCCUUUGCCGCUCCUGUUGGAGAAAGCUAAGUCGCCUCUCUUCUCCCAACUUGCGGCGCUGCGAAGAAGAAAACACACGACAUUGCAUUUCAUCACGCUCAAGGUCUAGCGAUAGGCUUACCUUCGGCCGUGCGACGCGGGCUUUCGUUUAUUUCUGUGCUCCUUGGCGCGCCCGGUGGAGGGUCUGCGCAUGCACGCAUGCGCCCUUCCAGACAGGCGGACACAGCAGAGCGAAGUGAAACAAACUACGAUGCCCGUGCGCCCCGCCGUCCUCUGUGAAGAUCACACAGUCUUCACCUUCUAUGUACGUUCUCCUUUUGCAUCCAUCUUCUCUCUGCCCACAUACAUUUCUCUCUCACCCUUUGGUGCUUCUCUUUCCCACCCAACCCAUCCAG